ACAAGCGGCGGAGCAUGCGGAUUAAUUCGAUGCAACGCGAAGAACCUUACCAAGGCUUGACAUACACCGGUAACGCCCAGAGAUGGGUGCCCCUUUGUGGUCGGUGUACAGGUGGUGCAUGGUUGUCGUCAGCUCGUGUCGUGAGAUGUUGGGUUAAGUCCCGCAACGAGCGCAACCCUCGUCCUAUGUUGCCAGCGGGUCAUGCCGGGGACUCAUGGGAGACUGCCGGGGUCAACUCGGAGGAAGUGGGAUGACGUCAAAUCAUCAUGCCCCUUAUGUCUUGGGCUUCACGCAUGCUACAAUGGCCGGUACAAAGGGCUGCGAUACCGCGAGGUGGAGCGAAUCCCAGAAAGCCGGUCUCAGUUCGGAUUGGGGUCUGCAACUCGACCCCAUGAAGUCGGAGUCGCUAGUAAUCGCAGAUCAGCAACGCUGCGGUGAAUACGUUCCCGGGCCUU
rnacentral:rRNA from 1 species